rnacentral:lncRNA from 1 species
CCACAAUCCUACAAAAUAAAGCUGAAAUAAAUCCUAUUUGGGUUUUUAUUGAGAUUAAAAAAACAUCAACAAAUAAAACAAAUAUUGACAUUUCACUUUAUUACAGCAAACUUUCCAAAUAUUUUCUCUGGAACAAAACUCAAACUCACAUUACCCUCAAAUUAAUGUUAGGUGGCUUCACAGACCUAUUUCUAAUUACAGAGAUAGAUGCACUAUGUUUUACAAUAUGUAUGUUUUUAUCUGUAUAGUGCAACUGCAUUGUCAAAAACAUUACAAGAUAAGAACAUUGAAUUAAUCGAAACAGCAUAGGAUAAGAGCAGACCAAGUUGAAAACAUGAAACUGAAAGAAACUUGUUACAGGAACGUGAAAUCAUACAAAUUAUAGAUUUUGCUGUGUACCUCAAUUACGAUUUUUAUAUGACAGAAAUUGCAAAGUUGCAAUGCAGUAUGAACUGAUAUUGUCAUGCACACAAUUCAUUAAAGAAAUUAAUAGCAGGCUAGAAGACAUGUUUAACAUACAUGCAAUCUUGAACAACAUUUACAUACAACUUCGCCCAGUCUGUGAAACCAAGCCAUCCACUUCAGGUGAAAGCCAGGUAAUAAAAAACAUGUAAAAAUAGUUGAUAGCUAACAGAUAAGUCUUAAAAAUAACUAUGAGUAUUGAUGUUUAGUGAAUUACAAGGAUGAUACUAGCUAACAAAAAACCCUCACAGUAGACAAUAACUAUACAUCUUCUGGGAGAUAUCUUAGUGAUGAUUGGAUUGGAAGUUUACAGUUACCGUCUUGACUCCACAAGGUGAAGUAUGCAAUGAAUCAAGUGAAAUAAAGUGCAACUAUGUUUAAUGGCACCGUCCCAAAUGGCACCUUAUUCCCUUUAUAGUGGUCACAUGUGGCUCAGUUGGUAGAGGAUGGUGGUAGAGCAUGGUUUGCAACGCCAGGGUUGUGGGUUUGAUUCCCACGGGGGACCAGUACGAAAAGAAGAAAAAAAAUGUAUGAAAUGUAUGCAUUCACUACUGUAAGUCGCUCUGGAUAACAGCGUCUGCUAAAUGACUAAAAUGUAAUAGUGCUCUACUUUUGACCAGGGUCCGUAGGCUCUGGUCAAAGUAGUGCACUUUAUAGGGAAGAGGGUGCCAUGACAGUGACACUAACAAAAUCUGUAUCGAAACAAAGAUAGCUGGGAAGAAGUUGUUACAUUCAAAGCUUUGGCAAUUAAGAGAAAUAAAAUUACAAGACAUUAGCAUUUUGAAAAUUGCAGACCCUCAGGAGAGAUAAGACAACAAUUAAAAGUAUGUUAUUUAUUUAUUACAAGAAACAAAACACUGAUUUAACCCAUUUUAGCUUCUUAUUUACCUAUAUGAGUAAAUAGACAAUUGAUUCAUACAUUCAUGAUCUUUCCCACAUUGUAACAUUUUGGAUGGAGAUGAAGGAACAUCUCGGUAAAAGCUCAAUGAGAAUAUCAUGACCAAAAGGAUGCGCAUGGAAUUAGAAACCGUAUCCAAAUGGGAUAAGUCUGCACAGACCAAUAUAUUAACAACUGUCAAUGAAAUUGUCUUCACAUCAUUCAAGCUAUGAAGGGGAAGAAAAAAAAAUGACAUGGUUUCCACAAAGCAUCAAAAAUAAUAGCAAGAGCAAAUAGACACGUAGGUUAAUUGAGAAAACUAAAGAGUUGGGUAAGAGCUAUCCCACUAGUAAAAUGUUAAAAACAUGUCCAUUCAUCCUACAAGAUGCUACUGAUAUUUUGUGUUUCCCGGCAACAAGGUAUGUUGUCUUGUUCAGUCUGCUCCACCUAGGUUCCUUUUACUUUAGAAACCUUUUUGGUUGAGCCAGGCUUCCUGCCUCCGCCUCUUAGAAACAACCCCCACCUUCUUUAUGAGCUGCCGCCACCUUACCAGGUUUGCUAGCCUUGUGACAACCACUGUGUGGUUUUAUUUCCUCUUCAAAUUGGACACAAGUCUUCGUCCUCAUCUCUCUCUGCAUCUUCAUUUUCCUCCUUCUCUGAAUCACAAGUUGUAUAAUCAACUUUCACAGAUGUUCUCCUGCCUCUUCGCCUCUGGGCUUGGAAGGCAGCUUCAUCUAACACAUUUGCUUUACCAUUGGUGCAGCGGUAAAGCUUUACUAUUGGAGAAACAGUGCACCCCUGUUUGGCUGGGGGUGCACUAUUGGACCUAUGCUUCUCUGCUGCUCUCUUGGCUUUGUUUGCUUGUACGGAGCCUAAGGGGCGGCCCCUCUUUUGCGGGGAACCAUCUAUAACGGGUGGCUUGGAAACUUUAGAGGUUGGAGGUGGGUUCUUCCGUAAGUGGGCACCUCUCCCCAUUGUUGCCUUGCGUGGACGGCCUCUUGCCCGUGGCUCAGCAGAGGUGGCUGGGGGAUCCAUGUAGGGGUGGAUGCGCGGCCUUCCGAGAGGCUUCCACACUCUUGAUCCCUUAGGUUGGCUUUUCAGUUUCUUUCUCUCUUCUUCCUCCUCGGUUGAUAGCGGGUUCUUCUUCGGCCUACCCAUUUUUUUUUUGGGUUUAACAUUUUGGGGCCGGCCAUGCUUCAGAGGUGCAGUUCCGAGAGGCUUCCACACUCUUGAUCCCUUAGGUUGGCUUUUCAGUUUCUUUCUCUCUUCUUCCUCCUCGGUUGAUAGCGGGUUCUUUCUCGGCCUACCCAUUUUUUUUGUUUGUUUAACAUUUUGGGGCCGGCCAUGCUUCAGAGGUGCAGUUGGCUCUGCUGAAACAGCAUUAGGGUCAACCACUUUACAUGGCCUGCCCCGUGGCCGCUUGUCUAGUACCCUCAGUAUCUUGGGUGUCUUAGAGCCUGAUCCUUUGGGCCUUCCCUUUCCCCUCUUAGGUGGUAUGGGGUUGCCAUUAGACAAGGCUUCACCUAACUCCUCAUCACUACCAGUAUCAGAGGCAAUUAUCUGUCCUUUUUCCGACACUGUUGCCUCUUCUUCCGACACUGUUGCCCUUUCUUCAGACAUUGUUGCCCCUUCCAUCAUCUGUUUUCUUGCUACCUGGCUCCUUCGUUCUUUCCUUCCAGCUCACUUUCUUGGAGGACUAGUGAACUACUUAGGGCUUCCCACUGUAAAACACACAUCUCGAGAAAGUUACAAAACAAACAAAUGUUCUUUGUGCACCCCUUCAUUGCUUCAUAAAACUGACCUACAUGGGCACGAGAAAGUGUAGCUAACAUGUAUUGCAACAUGCACAGCCUAAACACAGAUUUUAUGUUUACUGAUUUUUCAUUUAUGUAUAUGCUAAGGUGCACAAUACUAACAAAAUCUGAUAUGAACGUCUCCAUGACAUCCCUAAUUAAGGUUACUGCAUUGAAGCGAUUCUGAAAACUAGCCAGCUAGUAUCCUGAAUCAGUGAUUGUUUUGGUUAGUAGUAGUUAGCUAACUUUACCAGCUGUUCGAAGAAACAUAAUAUUAAUCUUUUAGGACAGAGUUUCCCACACUCUGUCCUACCCACCCCUGGGUGGACGUUUUGUUUUUUUCCUAAGCACUACAUAGCUGAUGGAAAUAAUCAAAGUUUGAUGAUGAAUUGGAUAUAUGAAUCAAAUGGGUAGUGCUUGCGCAAAAACAAAAACGUGCACACAGGGGGAGGGAGGGCCCAGGUCCGAGUUUGGGAAACCCUGUUCGACAAGUAACUAGUUAACUAAAUGGACUUGAAAAUAAACUAGAUAAUUUGCUAACUACGUAGCAUCGCCAGCUAUUUCGCUAGGUAGCUACCCAGCUAGUUAUCGUGACAAAGCCACCUAACUAGCUAGCUAGUUAAAUAAAGGUUAAAUUAAAUAAAAGCUAGCAAACAGUAGCACUAACGCUUGCGACAGCCAUGGAUAGCAAGCUUCGCUAGCAAGUUAAUGAAAAUACCACACUGCAGAAUACGCCUCACCUUGAUAAAAUCCUUGGUUAGAUAUCGUUUAAUCUCAUGAAAGUUCCUUGUUGUUAGCUAGCGAUGUAAAUUUCAAACGGAAUUUGUGGGGGCUGUUUUGUAAACCCCUACUACUAAGACCACUUUUUUUAGUUCCGUUCUGUUAGGUUGCGUCAAUUAAAUCUGGUAUCAGAACAGAAUUUAACACUAAGUCACUGAAUGUAUUCUCAGCUUUUUUAUUCAAUUUAAUUAGUCAAGCGAAUAAAUGGUAAAUGCAAUCGUCGUAUAUACGGGUUCACUGUAACACCUCGCAGGGCAAACAGAGAACUAACUGUUCACACACAGUUUAAAAAAAAAUACUCUGACAGAGUUCCCGCUCAGAGCGGGCCUGUCAGAGAAGAGGCUGAGCGUCGUUUAGACUUGCUCAGCCUAUCGCAGGCGCACAGGCUGGUCCCAGCCUCUUGGCGGUCACUGUUGCCAGGUGAAGUUGUCUUCCAGCUUAUCUUCGUGUUUUUCACCCAAAAAUCAGCAACCUGUUAGGGUUUAACCAACUAUUUGUUUGCAUAACCUAUAUAAUAUAACAAAGAAGUUAUGCUAUAAUAUUAAGUUUAUACUCUAUAUGAUAAGAGCAUACUGCUGUGUGAGAGGAAGUGGCUCAUGGGAUGGUGGGUCAUGUGGAAAGAAUGCAGAUGCUGUAAAUCAGGGUUUUGGAAGAGCUUGUUAAAAGAUAACGGCAAAUAACAGAAUAUGGGUGAAAUGUAUAUGCGGGGGGUGUCGGGGUUUUAAGGGAAAUAUGCAUUGUGCAGUCACAAGAUAAGUCAACUGCAAAAGACAAUAACUACACCCGGCAACAGGAAGUGCGUCACGAGGUUGGGACCAACCUGCACGCCGAUAGGAUGAGUAAGUUUAAACCAUGCUCAUUCUCCCUCACAGGCCAGCAAUGAGCAGGAACUAUCUCUGUCAGAGUAUAUAAGGGAGAACAAAGGAUGUGUCGCUCUCUUCUCUGUUUUGCCCUGCGUAGUGUUACAGUAUAUACGAACAACAUACUUACCACUCAAGUGUUUGCAUUAAUUAAAGUACAAAGAAAUCAGAAGUUACUCUGUGCUAACAAUUUUGUUCUGAUACCAGAUUUGAAUUGACGCGACCCAACAAACCCCAAGGACAGUGCCUGUUUUUAUGCUAGUUAUUCUCCACUCUAUCAGUUCCUCACGUACACAUGUCCUUGAGCAGUUUCAAAACCAGGCAGUGUGUGUGUGUGUGUGUGUGUGUCACAAGUCUAACUCAGCCUACACCCCUGCUGCACAGCAACCCUCCAGUUAGUCACGUCUAUUAUAUGUUGCUCAAUCUAUGUUAAUACAAUACAAACCUGUUAUGUUUAACAUUAAUGUAUUCACAAGCUAUGCACCACAUCUAGUUAAAUAAAAUAUAUCCCAACAAUCCCCCUUUUCACAUCUGCUGGGUGUGAACAUUACCCAGUAAGAAGAAUUUAGGAUUCCCCCUUUUGACACCCACUAGGGUGUCACUCACUAAAAUACAAUACAAACAAAAAGAAUCACACUUUUAUUAAUAGGAAUAACGAUAAUAGAAACCCUUCAGUCCUUCCAGCUACACCCAACUUUUACUAGGUUGGCUACCAGCCACCCAGGAACUUCAAACCCUCACAUUAGGAAAGACAAACAUUCACAAUAUUUAAAACUGAUUUGUAAAGCAGAAAAGCACAAACAGGGAAUUUUGAUUCCCCCUUUUGACACCCACUAGGGUGUCACUCCACCACCUCACCAAUAGCAAACCAAGGGUCAUCCGUAGCCAACCCCAUUUUCCUCCGAAAGUUAGACUCAGUGUCUGCAUCUCCUUCUUGAGCCUCCAGCAAAGGCAUCAUACCAGCAGCAUGCACGACAUCUGUAACAGACUUUCUCAGACAAGGCAUGAUACAGGCAGCAGAGCACAUCAGAAUUAAAAACACAAUUAGGGUCAGAAAUCCAGUAACCACCAGUGCAGCAUACUUACCAAACCACUCACCCAACCAACAUGCUCUUCAUUUCACCAGAUAGUUUAUCUAAACCAACUAGGGCUUUUGAAAUGCUCCCGUCAGGACUGGUAUUGUUAGGGAUAAACAUACAGCAUUGUUCACCAAACAUUUUACACACCCCGCCAUUAUUAGCCAAAAUCAUAUCCAGCGCCAGUCUAUUCUGUUUAGCAGUUCUAGUGGUAGCCUCUAGUUGCUCAGCCAUACCUGUCAGUGCAGUGCGAGUAUAGUUAACAAAUCUCUGUUGGUUAUAAUAUAUCCUUUUAUAUUAACACACACACACACAUCAGUAAAGAACUCCACCCAGCUUUAGGCGGCUGUAUUUUUCCACAGUACACAUACAUUCCUUAUCAACCUUGCCACCUGUCUUCUAAUCUCCUGCCCACUAGCCGUUCCCAGGCCGUUGUUACUCUCCCUGACUUAGGGAGGCAUCUUCCCCUGUUCCUUUCCCAAGGUCGCCCUGCUCAUUUUGAAGUGGUAACAGUGUCUUACUCACACACAGUAUUGGAAUAUAGUUUUUAACCCAUUAUUAUAGCCUUUAUAAUUUCAAAUACAUUUCAACGGGUUAUAUGGUUUCUGAGUGAAAUCAUUUAGUCAAACCUUUAAUCAUAUAAUUUCCAUUACAAUCCACCCGAUAGGCUAAAUAUUUCACACACACUAUAACACAUCUAUUUUUAUUGGAUUCAUAAAUUUCACACAAAAUCAAACUAAUUCGGGACAUCAAAGAAAACAAUUGCAUAUACUGUCAACACAUAUUUAUCGAUGACUGUUCUAAGCCUAUCUCCAAUCAUAACACUUCGGAUCAGGAUUUUUGUUAUGACCUUUACUUAAAGAAACAGUCUUCCUAAACUCUAAAGAUGGUCUCAUCUACCAUGGGCUCCUCCUAAUUGAAUGAAUCCUCCACCAGGCUCGGCGGUAGGUAUUUGUCGUCCCACUGGUCUGAACUUGGACUCGGUCCGUUUCUCACCAUCUGCUGCGUCAUCGAUCUCUCUAGAGUUCUGGUGAUUAAACCUUUCAUACUUGGCAUAUACUCAUCAAUCACACAAUAUCAACACACUCAUACAGGUGAAAGCAGCCCAUAAUACAGUUCUUACAACACUUUUCCAUUUCCCAAACAUGAGCUGUGUUAUCAGGAAUGUACGUGCAGCAAUGAACCUAAUCAUUCUACCCACACCGCCCUCUUUUGCCAAUAACAUAUCGAGAGUCAGUCUAUUUUACCAGGUCAUGAGGGAGGUGGCGGAUAAUUGGUCAGAGAACCUCUUUACCGCAUCCCCGGUUUCAUUCAUGAAUCUCUGUUGAUUAUAAAAGAUGUCAUUAAUCCAAUCCACAUUUUUAUUUAUUGUCAACCACCAAAAUAAUGUAGUGUUAAAGCCUUCACAUAUUUGAUUCAUAGCUUUGUAUUCAUCUGGAACUUCCCUGAGGAUGCCAAUAGCAUCCAUCUAGACAAAGCUACUCCCAUCCUGGUCAAAACUCCUCCUGUGCCUACUUUAGCCUCCUAUAACUGGCCUCUGAUGACUAACUUGAACUGGUUGGACCUAUAACCCCAGGGCGCAAGUUCCUAACCACCCUUUGUGGUAAUUUCUGUCGUAUGUGUCCUUUGCUGUUACUAGCCCACCCUUCAUCAGUUAGUUAUAGGUGCUGUGAGGUUCAGAAUUUUCUCCUGUACUUCUAAACCUAAGUCAGUCACAUUAACGAUCACCUUUCAGCCAUUAAAAUCAUCUAAGUUCUCGGUGCCAUUCUUGUAUCUAUAACACUGGUACUCAUCAGGAGUUAAGGUGAACCGAGGUGGGUUGGCUGAGUACUUCAAUCUGGCCAACCCCAAUUCCUGUACAGUUGUCUGCUUCCCCAGGAAAUUGUUUAAUGUUUACCUUAAAUUGUACAUCUUGAUCUUUUUUGAUUCCUUAUUCUGUACGUCACUCAUCAGUGUAUGGUAUAGUUUAUCUUUUCAUUCUUAUAAAUGACAACAGUGUCGUAUGAUUAGUACCGGAAGGUGGUGGAUCUGAAUGUAUCAGAAAGAUUAGACUAUGAUGCAGCUCAGAGUCUCUACUCUUCCCAAAAACCGCCAACCCUCUCCUGCCCUUAGUCGAUCUGCUAGGCACUGCCCUAUACUCACACCUCUAGGAGCACACACAUUGAUGCACGGUCGGGAUAGGGAAUCUUCGUUAAGGAGGUAACCCCCGGACCCUGUUGGUAUCGGUUCUUCUCCUAACUCUGUGUGUGAUCAGCAGUGCUCUGUUGUGUACAUACCUUCUUGCAGUGGAUAACAUGGACCCAAGUGACUCUCUCAGUUUUUCUAAUGGCAAAGGCAGUGGUUUAACAGAACCUGGUAUGGGCCUUCCCAAUGGGGCUGCUUCCAGUCUUUUCUCCUCAGGGACUGGAUCCACACCCAGUCUCCUGGUUGGAUUGAGUGAAUCACCUUCUCCUGUAAUUCACCUGUUGGACACAAAAUCUUGGACAUACGGGUUUGGUUAACAAACAGUCUUCUCAUGUGUUCUGCUAGUAUUUUUUCAACUUCUAUGUCUACCUGUUCUGGUAUCUCUAACUCCGGCAUUCUAUUUGUUCAACCUGAUUAGCUAAAAUGUCAUCCAUCAUUUAAAGAGAUAGAUCCUAGUAAACCAACUCUAGGGAUAAUAUCUUGACCUAAUAUUCUAGCUACCAUAAUCAUGUCCACCAAGUAAGUUGGGAACGCUUCUACCCAUUUGCUAUACUUAUCUAUUAUUGUUAAACAACCCUUCUUCCCCUCUCUUCGGAGUAGUUCAAUAAGGUCCAUUUCCAAAUGUUGGACUGGAUAUUUUUUUUAAAGUAAAUAUCCUCUAGGCCACCACUCUUUCCUAACUGCUCUACCAUCCUUCCCCCUUUAUUGAUACAUGGCUCAGGCCAUGUACCAAUAAUGGGUUGUUUCCAAAUAUUCACUAAAUGUCUCACUGUCUCCCUGGUUGCACUUCUGGAUUUCAGAAAAAUCAACAUGUCUUAAUAUCAAGAUUAUUCCAUAGCUACUUAAAUUUAUCUCGAUACCCUCAAUGAUCCUGGAUCACCUACAGAUGUCAUAUAUUCCUGUCCCGUUGGCUUAGAAUAUAUCCUAAUACUUGACAUAAGUCUACCAUUAUUAAACUUAUUCAACAACAAAAUAUAAUAAUACUAUUAUAUCAAUUCCACAGCCUUGUUGUGUUAAAUCUCUUCCACUGAAUACAACCACAGCUGACUACCUAAGGGAAAAUACUUACCUAGAUAAUGUAUAAAAAAUACUACUACUGGUCAAAAGAAAUUCAAAUAACAUUAUCAGAUCAAAAUGACUAAUCUGAACUACUCCACAAAGGAAAAUUAUUGUACCCUUCUUGUUCUAGGAAAAUAGACUUAAGGAAGCCUACCCUUAGUCUAAGGCUUUGCCCUUUUAGUCUUCUCAUUGGUUCAAAUUAUCAAUUGUGUCUAAGAACUUUAACUCCAUCAUAAUUAUCAGUAAUACAGAUUCCCUUCAAAUUAGUAUUACAAAUUACCUUAAAUUCACUAUCCAAAUGGCCCUCCCAUGAGGCUGAUCAGACCACAAGGGGGAGCCCUGAUAGAGGUCAAAAGUCAUACCACCCUUUCAAAAAUGUGUUUCUUACUUUAUUAGACAAAUUAAAGGAAAACCCUCAAACAAAUGAAAGGAAAACCGGCAAACAUUAUCCACAUGUUAUAUCCCAGGUUCCCAGAACUUCAUUAAAACUCUGAAAAUAAAACUUUUAAAAUUCCACGUGUGCCAGCCCCUUUAAAAGAUAUUGUGGCUCCUAGGUGUACAGAAGGAACACUAUUAGCUCUCCAAUUUAGCUUCCUGUGAUGCCUAUCGGUUGAGGGACUGUGUUGAUCUCCGGGGCGCUUUUCACCACAUAUCUUCUUUAGUUUCUCCAGCAUAGCCAACCCUAUGCGCUCUUUUAAUUUAGCCUUCUCCAUCGUUUCUUUAAAUGUGCCUGUACGCGGUUCCCCCUCCUGCUUCCACUCGGAAUAGGUUUUGUCUGUUUUUCGUUUUAGCGUUUCCAAUAUUUUACCGGGCUCCCCGUCGACUGGGAGUCCGUUGGGUGCAUUAAUACUACCUUCUUUUAUCCAUCCCUUAUAUAAUUUUCCCCCCCUUCUCUUCCACUCCUUCCCGUCUUUACCCCCAUUAGUUUCUAGUGCUGACUUCAAUGCUUUCAGCACCCUCUCGGUCUCCUGGUUGGUCAUAUUUAAUUUACGUUCAUAACAACCUAUCUAUCAAUGUUAAUUUGCGUCCCUACCGGACGUUUCUAACAUUCUUUAUUUCCCCAGCGCUAAAUGAUAUAACUCAGGUCGACCGUCCCCGACCUCUUAUUUACCCGCAGGUCACUCAAACUUGGUAUUAGUACGCCGACUUAAUACCCAAUGUACUUCAGUCAUUCAGUGGUUUCCUCAGUGUAACACAGCCUUACCGGACCUGUACCUUUAUCCGUAGAUCAUUCACACUUGAUACUAGUACGCCGACUUAAUAUCUAAUGUACUUCAUUCAUAUGAUUGGGUUGACCUCCCAAUCUUCAUUCAGUCUUGUAACCAGUCCCAGACUUGGUAACCACACUCAAACUUGGUAUUGAAUACCUAGUACAUUUCAAUCGCUGUUACACCUACAUCCACUCACACUCAUACCGGUUAUGUACGCCGACUAACCAAACACACACACACACACACUUGGUACUCUGUACCUAGUACAUUACAUUCACUUGUUAUAUCAUCAACAACCGAUCGGUUUCAAAAUUGCAUCCACCAUAAUUCACACUUCUUGUUAUCUUACUAUUAUUGUUAAUUAUUUCAAACGUUAUCAAUUAUAUAAUUUGGUAACUUACAUCAAACAGGUGUCUCACAAAUAAAUUUGGAUAACGCCAAUGUGCAGAACUUUAGUUAUUCACAAUAGGUGUCUGCUUACCUUUUUAGUUGACCGGUCAGGAUUUGUGAGGCAAACCAUCCGACGACAGCAAUGGCCAAUCGGCCGGACAAGUUCCAGCGAAGUCCUUCUACCAGAUCACGUCGGGGUCACCAAUUGUUAGGUUGCGUCAAUCAAAUCUGGUAUCAGAACAGAAUUUAACACUAAGUCACUGAAUAUAUUCUCUGCUUUUUUAUUCAAUUGAAUUAGUCAAGCGAAUAAAUGGUAAAUGCAAUCUUAGUAUAUACGGAUUCACUGUAACACCUCGCAGGGCAAACAGAGAACUAACUGUUCACACACAAAGUUAUUUAAUACACCUUAUUCCCUUUAUAGUGGUCCCGUGUGGCUCAGUUGGUAGAGCAUGGUGUUCGCAAUGCCAGGGUUGUGGGUUCGAUUCCCACGUGGGACCAGUACGAAAAGAAAAAAAAAAGGUAACCAUGGUUGACAGAGGAAGAACAAUGAUUCCAAGCACCACCCUCCUUUUGAAGCUUCC